rnacentral:rRNA from 1 species
CUGCUCAGUAACACGUGGACAACCUACCCUUGGGUCCGGCAUAAUCCUGGGAAACUGGGAAUAAUUCCGGAUAGGUCACCGAUGCUGGAAUGCGCGGUGGCCGAAAGCUCCGGCGCCCGAGGAUGGGUCUGCGGCCUAUCAGGGGUUGUAGUGGGUGUAACGUACCUACUAGCCUACGACGGGUACGGGGUUGUGAGAGCAAGAGCCCGGAGAUGGAUUCUGAGACACGAAUCCAGGCCCUACGGGGUGCAGCAGGCGCGAAAACUUUACAAUGCGGGAAACCGUGAUAAGGGGAUCUCGAGUGCCAGCAUAUAAUGUUGGCUGUCCAGAUGCCUAAAAAGCAUCUGUUAGCAAGGGCCGGGCAAGACCGGUGCCAGCCGCCGCGGUAACACCGGCGGCCCGAGUGGUAACCGCUAUUAUUGGGUCUAAAGGGUCUGUAGCCGGCCAGGUAAGUCCCUUGGGAAAUCUGGCAGCUCAACUGUCAGGCUGCUAGGGGAUACUGUUUGGCUUGGGACCGGGAGAGGUGAGAGGUACCUUGGGGGUAGGGGUGAAAUCUUGUGAUCCUCGAGGGACCACCAGUGGCGAAGGCGUCUCACCAGAACGGGUCCGACGGUAAGGGACGAAAGCUAGGGGCACGAACCGGAUUAGAUACCCGGGUAGUCCUAGCCGUAAACGAUGCUCGCUAGGCGUCAGUCACGGUGCGACCGUGAUUGGUGCCGUAGGGAAGCCGUGAAGCGAGCCACCUGGGAAGUAUGGCCGCAAGGCUGAAACUUAA